rnacentral:lncRNA from 1 species
UCCAGUGUCAGUGAGUUAUAUGAUCUCAUGGUCAUAGGAAUAAAUACUUUUUUUUCCACACGUAGAAAACAGUAGCAACAAAAUGACACGAUCAACAUGCUACGUCUAUUAGUUUGGGUCUAGUGCAUCACAUGAUUCCCCUGACUAUCCUUGACCAACUGGCUAGCCAACUAGAGGCUUGCUAGGGAAAAUGUUUUGUCUAUGUAUCCACACAUGUAUCUAAGUUUUCAUUCAAUACAAUUAUAGCAUGGAUAAUAAACGAUUAUCUUGAUACAGGAAUUAUAAUAAUAACUUAUUUAUCAUUGCCUCUAGGGCAUAAUUCCAACAAUUCCGAUGAUAGAUACAUCCGUUCGAGUGACAAGAAUUUCCGGACACAGGGAAUAGUAUAAUUUUCAAGUCUCAUAAGUUGCGCUUUGAGAAAGGAUAAAAUACACAGACUUGAUCUCUCCUCGAUCCAUGUUAAAGAAUUCCGGUUCAGCUGAUUCUCUCCUUAAUGCUUGUGUUUCGUACUUCCCUUAAGGAGUUGCCUUUUUCUUUAUAAAAAUAAGUGUACUGUUUUUUGUUCUACACAUAUCAUAUUGGUUUGAUUCCUGUGGGGCGGAAUAAAUCUUGUAUGUUUUAUAUGUGGGUUGAUACACCAAAGUCAUUUGCACAUCUUUAUGCCGGCAAGCUUUAUUAAUAUUAGUUGAUAGCAUGUGGAAUUUUGGAUAAUUGCUGCGCCUCACCUCGCACCACUCCAUGCUAGCUCGACAAUCAUGUUAUUGAACAAUGGAUAGAAACCGAGCUCAACAUUUCACUUGAGUUAAAAACGCCGAAGGUUUGGGAUUAUGAUGUGACGACUACGUCCAUAAUUUAUUAUGUCCAAAGCAGAUGGCAUGUGUUGAUAUGUAAUGGUGGUACAAUAAUGGAUGAAUCUCUACUGAACAUGAAAGUUAAGCUAUAACCUAUGGUAUGUUUCUGUGUAUUUUCUCAUACAAAUUUGCUCCUUCUCUUCUUUUAGAUUGUCGGACAGUACAAUGAUCUUCUUGAUGUUUAUUAUCAACUUAUAAGUUUAUUGUGACUCUGGUUUUGUGCUAAUGUAGUACCUAUAUAAGUCAUUUCCGCUAGGAAUCAAAGAGAAUUAAAUAUACGUUUCUGCUACUGUAUUAUACGCUCUGAACGUUAGGCACAAAGCUUCAUAAGUGCACUGAAGUGAAACAAUUUCUUGGUUAAGUUGUUCGGAUUUGUAACUUCUCUAGGCAUAAACUAAAUCUGGACACUUAUUUGUAUAGCGGUGAAGUUGUUUCAUGCCAUUGUAAUUUAUA